rnacentral:rRNA from 1 species
AGGCUUUGAUCCUGGCUCAGGAUGAACGCUGGCGGCGUGCUUAACACAUGCAAGUCGAACGAACCUUCGGGUUAGUGGCGGACGGGUGAGUAACGCGUGAGAAUCUGCCCUCAGGAGGGGGAUAACGGCUGGAAACGGCCGCUAAUACCCCAUAUGCCGAGAGGUGAAACGAGUUUUCGCCUGAGGAUGAGCUCGCGUCUGAUUAGCUAGUUGGUGGGGUAAGAGCUUACCAAGGCAUCGAUCAGUAGCUGGUCUGAGAGGAUGAUCAGCCACACUGGGACUGAGACACGGCCCAGACUCCUACGGGAGGCAGCAGUGGGGAAUUUUCCGCAAUGGGCGAAAGCCUGACGGAGCAACGCCGCGUGAGGGACGAAGGCCUCUGGGCUGUAAACCUCUUUUCUCAAGGAAGAAGAUCUGACGGUACUUGAGGAAUAAGCCACGGGUAUAUCCGUGC